UAUGACUACCUGGUAUGACUCUGACUACC
rnacentral:piRNA from 1 species